rnacentral:lncRNA from 1 species
GUGACCUUAAGGUACGAUUAUUUUAUGAUUUAAUUGGUGGGAAAAUGGGCCAUUUAUAUUCGGAAAUCAUACAAGACUACAAGUAUUUGACUUUACGAGUUUAUGUCAAAUGAGUCAAAUCUAUUUUAAUAUAAAAGCAGGGAGGAGGGGCAGGGAGGAGGGGCAAGGGGGACAGAAGUGCACUUUGUGUUAUAGAAAUUCUGCCUGCUAAAUCUUAUCUCCAGUUUUGGGCAAAGUCAUGAGGUGUGAACUUGAAUGUGACCUGAUUAAGUGUGUUUGUGCAGCUAUAGUUCCUGGAGUAGACUUUAUUUCCAGAACACAGAACAGCUAUCGGCAAUGGAACAUGCACAAUCAGGUUUUCAUUGGCAAGUCAACACAUAAUUGUAGGUCUAUAAAGGUGCCCUUGCCUUUUUAUUGUUCCAAUGUCCCUGUAUAAAUGCAUCAAAUCUUUUUUUACCUGUAGUACUUAUGUUGUGUUCUGUUGUGGGAGUUUAACAUUAUUCCAUCACCAACUUCUGUAACAAUCUGACCACCUAAGCUGGAUAUUUUAGAGGAUAUACUGAAUGAUCUACCACUGGUGAAUUUAGAUGAGCCAUUGUUAUGCAAUUGCAUUAAACAGCCAUUAAAUCCUAUGUGUUUAGGUAAAAUUCAUGGUGAAGAGAUGCCUGAUGAUGUUGAAAGUAUUGGUGCAGAAGGUGGAGUUGCAGACAUGGACAAGAUUGAUGAAAUUCAGCAGUUGACCCAAUUGUUGGGUGUGUAACAGGCUACUGGUGAUGCUAAAUACAUGAAUGAUUCAAGCUCUGAUUAGGAAAAUGAUGGAGACAAGGAUUCUGAAGGGCAAGGAUUGUGGAGGAGACACAUUGUAUCCUGAGAAUUAAGACAAGGAUUGUGGAGGACACUUUGUAUCCUGAGAAGUUUGUUGUAGCUGGUUCCUGGCGAGAACAAAGAUACCAACUUGUGAUAAUCAUGUAUAGAUGAUCAAAAAAUCUCAAGUUGAAAUUUAAAGUAGAACAUGAGCAAGACAUUUUUAGUUGAGAUUUUCAUAUAAAUUUAUUCCUAUUAAAACACUGUUAUUAUUUCAGGUAAAUAUUUGAUAUUAGUAUUUUUGCACAAG